UACGUAGGUGACUAGCGUUGUCCGGAUUUACUGGGCGUAAAGAGCGCGCAGGCGGUCGUUCAAGUCGAGUGUGAAAGCCCCCGGCUCAACUGGGGAGGGUCAUUCGAUACUGAUCGACUCGAAGGCAGGAGAGGGAAGCGGAAUUCCAGGUGUAGCGGUGAAAUGCGUAGAUAUCUGGAGGAAUACCGGUGGCGAAGGCGGCAUCCUGGACCGACAUUGACGCUGAACGGCGAAAGCUAGGGGAGCAAACGGG
rnacentral:rRNA from 1 species